ACUCAAAUGAAUUGACGGGGGCCCGCACAAGCGGUGGAGCAUGUGGUUUAAUUCGACGCAACGCGAAGAACCUUACCAGGGCUUGACAUCCUUCGAAUCUUUAAGAAAUUGGAGAGUGCCCCUUCUGGGGAGCGAAGAGACAGGUGGUGCAUGGUUGUCGUCAGCUCGUGUCGUGAGAUGUUGGGUUAAGUCCCGCAACGAGCGCAACCCCUACGGUUAGUUGCUAACGUAAAGGCGAGCACUCUAACAGAACUGCCGGUGACAAACCGGAGGAAGGUGGGGACGACGUCAAAUCAUCAUGCCCUUUAUGUCCUGGGCUACACACGUGCUACAAUGGCCGGUACAAAGGGCGGCAAAACCGCGAGGUAGAGCGAAUCCCAAAAAGCCGGUCUCAGUUCGGAUUGCAGGCUGCAACUCGCCUGCAUGAAGUCGGAAUCGCUAGUAAUCGCAGGUCAGCAUACUGCGGUGAAUACGUUCCCGGGCCUUGUACACACCGCCCGU
rnacentral:rRNA from 1 species